UGGCGACCGGCGCACGGGUGAGUAACGCGUAUGCAACUUGCCUAUCAGAGGGGGAUAACCCGGCGAAAGUCGGACUAAUACCGCAUGAAGCAGGGAUCCCGCAUGGGAAUAUUUGCUAAAGAUUCAUCGCUGAUAGAUAGGCAUACGUUCCAUUAGGCAGUUGGCGGGGUAACGGCCCACCAAACCGACGAUGGAUAGGGGUUCUGAGAGGAAGGUCCCCCACAUUGGUACUGAGACACGGACCAAACUCCUACGGGAGGCAGCAGUGAGGAAUAUUGGUCAAUGGCCGAGAGGCUGAACCAGCCAAGUCGCGUGAGGGAUGAAGGUUCUAUGGAUCGUAAACCUCUUUUAUAAGGGAAUAAAGUGCGGGACGUGUCCCGUUUUGUAUGUACCUUAUGAAUAAGGAUCGGCUAACUCCGUGCCAGCAGCCGCGGUAAUACGGAGGAUCCGAGCGUUAUCCGGAUUUAUUGGGUUUAAAGGGUGCGUAGGCGGCCUUUUAAGUCAGCGGUGAAAGUCUGUGGCUCAACCAUAGAAUUGCCGUUGAAACUGGGGGGCUUGAGUAUGUUUGAGGC
rnacentral:rRNA from 1 species